CCUACGGGGGGCUGCAGUGAGGAAUAUUGGUCAAUGGGCGGGAGCCUGAACCAGCCAAGCCGCGUGAGGGAAGAAGGUACAGCGUAUCGUAAACCUCUUUUGUCAGGGAACAAAGGCGGGGACUAGUCCCCGGAUGAGGGUACCUGAAGAAAAAGCAUCGGCUAACUCCGUGCCCGCAGCCGCGGUAAUACGGAGGAUGCGAGCGUUGUCCGGAUUUAUUGGGGUUAAAGGGUGCGCAGGCGGCCUGUUAAGUCAGCGGUAAAAGCCCGGGGCGCAACCCCGGCGAGCCGUUGAAACUGGCGGGCUUGAGUUGGAGAGAAGGACGCAGAAUGCGCGGUGUAGCGGUGAAAUGCUUAGAGAUCGGGCAGAACCCCGAUUGCGAAGGCAGCGUACCGGCUCCACACUGACGCUGAGGCACGAAAGCGUGGGUAUCGAACAGGAUUAGAUACCCCUGUAGUC
rnacentral:rRNA from 1 species